GGGUGGGGCACCGUUCAACCCACUACAAAGAUUAUCUAUGUGACACAGAGUUUCCUGGUGGCAUCUUAACCAGCUGCUCCGUGCUCUUUGCUGGACAACAUCCCGGUUACCUGCCUGUCUCGGUCAGAACCAGGAGCAGGUGUUCCAGGCCCAGGUGCACCACGGUUUUCUGCAAGGUCGGGUUUACGUUCCCUCUCCAGGAAGCUAAAUGUGCCAUGGUGGGAGUGAUGUGAUGAGACUUCUGAGUCUAGGUCAUAAAAGGCAGUACAGCUUCUGCCUGCUUCUCCUGAGCUAUGUGCUCCUGGAACCCAGCCACCACGAGGUGAGGAGUCCCAAAGUCCUCAGAGAGACGGACAUGGAGGGGAACCGUGGUCUCCAGCCUAUAAUCCAGCUGAGCUCCCAGCUGACACCCACUGCCAACAUGGUGGCAUGUGACUCAGCCAUCUUGGCAGCAGGUCGUCCAGCCCCAGUGCAGCCACCGCACUGAUGUGACAUGGAGCAGAGGCGAGCUGUGAAUGUCGCAGCCAGCCGUAUUACAGAUUUGGGAGAAAAUGAGAAGAUGGUGGUUGUUUUAGGCCAUUGUGUUUUGGGGAGGUUUGCUAUGUAACUACAGUCAGCUGAUACACAACGUUUGAUUCAAUUUUCUAAUAUUUUGUUUAGGAUUUUUGCACUCACCUUCAGAAGGAAGAUCAGACUAUAUUUUCUUUUCUUUCUUCUUUUUUUUUUUUUUUUACUUUCUUUGUUGUCUGCUUUUUAUAUCAAGUUACACAACCCUUUAAACGUGAGCUGGGAUAUAUUUCUUUUUUUUUUUUCUCUAGUCUCUGAAAAACAUCUGGGUUAGUUUCAAAUUAUUUUUAUUUAAUGUUUGAUUAAAAAGACAACAAACUAAUGCAAAAAGCUGUCAGGGCUUGAUGCUUUUCAUUUCUUGGAAAGAGAUUGUCUAUUGGCUAAUUUAUUGAAAGACUCGUAUCUAGUCUUAUUGCUUAUUAUUUCUUAAGUUAAUUUUUGGUAGUUUCCUAGAAGUUGUUCACAUCCUCCAAGCUUUCAAAGUGCAAACGUCAAGUUUCACUGUAACUGAGUUAUGUUCCCUCAUUUAUUUAUUAUUUAUUCUCUCUUUGCCUCCCUGAUGUGACUUGCCAGAGUAUGUCUAUUUGAUUAAUCUUUUCAACAGUCAGCUUUUCUUUACUAUUCAUCUUUCUAGCUUCUAAUGAGAGUAGAAAGAAAACAAAUGAAAUAGUUUUCAUUUCCAUCACUAUAUAUCUUUACUUUCAUCACUCCUUUCUAUAUGAUAUUUGAGCUUGUGAUUUCUCUCUUGUUCCUUUUUAUUUUUUUGUCUUUCUGAGUUGAAACCCUAGCGUAUUUUUACCAGCUAUGUUCCCUCAAACUGUCACUUUAGAAACAAAGCAGAAGUUUGAUAAGAAGUGCUUGUUAUUCAGUUCCAAGUAUUUUACAGUUUCCCCUUUAACUGGGAUGACCACAUAGUGUAUGAACCAAAUUGAGACACUUUUGAUAGUAAAGGGGAGUGCUAUUAAUAAUUAUACCAGCAUGACAGACAUAAAUAGGGUCUUAACUAUACAAAUUCAGAUGUAUGUACACCCAUAAGUGAUUUCAAAGAGUGCGUUUUGGUUUUCAAGUGUGUGUGUGUAAAAAGUAAACAACUUCAUUGAUUUCUACUAUAAUUACAUUGAGGUCCAAAAAUCUGGUCUAUGUGAUAGAAUUUGGAAUUUGCAGAAACUUCCUUAGUGGUCUAGUGAUUGGUCAAAUUUUAUAAAUAUCCCAUAUGUGGUUGGAAGCAAUGUGUUUUCAGAGUUCACUGUUUCUUUUCUUUUUUUAAUUAAAGUUUAUUGGAGUAACAAUUGUUA